rnacentral:rRNA from 1 species
AAUAUUGGGCAAUGGGCGCAAGCCUGACCCAGCGACGCCGCGUGAGGGAAGAAGGCCCUUGGGUCGUAAACCUCUGUUGUAUGGGAAGAAGGACGUGACGGUACCAUACGAGGAAGUCCCGGCUAACUACGUGCCAACAGCCGCGGUAAUACGUAGGGGACGAGCGUUGUCCGGAAUUACUGGGCGUAAAGGGCGCGCAGGCGGAUAUUUAAGUCAGCUGUUAAAGUCAUGGGCUCAACUCAUGGAUGCGGUUGAAACUGGAUAUCUCGAGUGCUGGAGAGGUAGGCGGAAUUCCCGGUGUAGCGGUGAAAUGCGUAGAUAUCGGGAAGAACACCAGUGGCGAAGGCGGCUUACUGGCCAGCAACUGACGCUGAGGCGCGAAAGCCAGGGGAGCGAACGGG